AGAUAUGAUCUAUACACAAAAGCCUCACAACUCUCACACAACAGUCCUACGUGGCAAGCAUAUUUUAUUGUUUUUUUUUGUGUUUUGGUUCCUGCGGCUAGAAGAAGACAUGCGAGAGAGGGAAAAUCAAAAUUUCCCUCAACCGAGCCACUGCCCAGUCCCUCUCUCUCUCAAAUUUCUCUCCGUGCAGAUCCCGUCGCCGGCAGAUCCUCUCCAGCUCCGGCAGAUCCUCUCCACAAAUCUCUCUCUCCAGCGCCCGCUUCUUCUUCUACUUCUCCAGCUCUCUCUCUCUCUCUCUCCGGCGGGCUCCCUCUCUUCGCCGUUCUCUCUCGGCGUCCGACGUCCGCCCUUCUCUUCGCCGUUCUCUGUCGGCGUCCGGCGUCCGGCGUCCUCUGUCGUCCGGCAGAUCUCAUCCCAGUCCAGCUCUGUCUCCGGCAGAUCUUCUCUCCGGCGGGCAGGAUCUUUUAGAUCUUUUUCUCUUCAAUGGCUCGAAGCAUUCACAGAAAUUUCAAGCACUGCUGACCAUCUCAUAAAAGAAGUACCGAUCAAUGAUGAAACAAUAUCAUGCUGCUUUAGCCUUUUUUAAUUUUGUUUAUAGAAUUAUAUGUAACUAGGAUAUAGUGAAAUUUUUAUAUUGUAAUGUUGGAUAAUGGAUAAGCUCUACAAGUGUUGUUAGAUGUUCAUUCAGUUUUGAAGAAUCUGCUUAAGCA